rnacentral:rRNA from 1 species
AGCGAACGCUGGCGGCAGGCCUAACACAUGCAAGUCGAACGAAGCCUUCGGGCUUAGUGGCGGACGGGUGAGUAACACGUGGGAAUGUACCUUUUGGUUCGGAAUAACGCAGAGAAAUUUGCGCUAAUACCGGAUGAGCCCUUCGGGGGAAAGAUUUAUCGCCGAAAGAUCGGCCCGCGUUGGAUUAGGUAGUUGGUUUGGUAAAGGCGCACCAAGCCUACGAUCCAUAGCUGGUCUGAGAGGAUGAUCAGCCACACUGGGACUGAGACACGGCCCAGACUCCGACGGGAGGCAGCAGUGGGGAAUCUUGCGCAAUGGGCGAAAGCCUGACGCAGCCAUGCCGCGUGAAUGAUGAAGGUCUUAGGAUUGUAAAAUUCUUUUACCAGGGACGAUAAUGACGGUACCUGGAGAAAAAGCCCCGGCUAACUUCGUGCCAGCCGCCGCCGUAACAC